rnacentral:rRNA from 1 species
ACUCCUACGGGAGGCAGCAGUGGGGAAUAUUGCACAAUGGGGGAAACCCUGAUGCAGCCAUGCCGCGUGUGUGAAGAAGGCCUUCGGGUUGUAAAGCACUUUCAGUAGGGAGGAAGGUAGUGUAGUUAACACCUGCAUUAUUUGACGUUACCUACAGAAGAAGCACCGGCUAACUCCGUGCCAGCAGCCGCGGUAAUACGGAGGGUGCGAGCGUUAAUCGGAAUUACUGGGCGUAAAGCGCAUGCAGGCGGCUUGUUAAGUCAGAUGUGAAAGCCCGGGGCUUAACCUCGGAAUUGCAUUUGAAACUGGCAGGCUAGAGUCUUGUAGAGGGGGGUAGAAUUUCAGGUGUAGCGGUGAAAUGCGUAGAGAUCUGAAGGAAUACCAGUGGCGAAGGCGGCCCCCUGGACAAAGACUGACGCUCAGAUGCGAAAGCGUGGGGAGCAAACAGGAUUAGAUACCCUGGUAGCACAGAG